CGAACGUUCUAGAAAAACGCUUGUUUUGAAUCCGCGGAAACCUCGCAAGAGAGGCCAGUGAGACGCUCUGUGCGAUGUCGUUUUCAUGUGUUGUUUAGGCUGGCCACACUCUUUUCACCACCCAUGCUUGUUCCUGUGUGCAAGUUUGCGUGUGUGCAGGAAAACUGCUGUCAUCUAGCAAGCUGUCAUCUAGCAAGUUUGGAUACAGUUUAGGCCUACCAGCUUGUGAACUUGAGAAUAAAGUUUUAACUGAC